CAGUGCGCGGAUAUCGUCGCGGAUGGGGUCGUGAGGUUUGUGUGCAGUCUUGCGAGAAAUGGUGUCAUGUUGAUGUUGAAUUUGUGUUGGUGAAGAGUUAUAAAGUGGAAGAUUAGUGAAUUAAAGUGGACUUGUGUUGAAUGUUGCGCUCACUUAGAAGUGAUUCAGUUCAGUUCUCGGUUCCAGCUUGAAAUAAGCCUUUUCAAUUGGCCGAGCUCAGGCUUCGGUCUCAGCCAAGGCCUUGGGCUGGCCAAAGACAACCCCUUGGAGGGUGUGCAGAGUGCUAUCCUGAGUACCAUCUAAACCGAAGGUGCGACUCCUGUGGCUUGUGAAGGAAUCAGCAGCGAUGGACUCGCCGGAUGCGACGCUGCAGUUCCAGUUCCAGUGCGGCCUGGACCGCGGCUCGGUCACCGUCGACACGGCUGGCCUCACGCUCAAGACGCUCAAGGAGCACGCCUUCGACUUCCUGACGCACAAGCGGCCGGACCAUGGCCUGCAGCGGCUGCCGGAGAACCUGCUGCUGUUCCGGCACGACCCGUCGGCGGCGGCCGUACUGCAGCUCAUCAACUCGGUCACGGACGUCACCACCAACAGCCUGGUGGAGAUCGUCAUCAGCGCCACCAUCACACAGCAGGCGGCGGUGGCGCUGGACGUACGGCCCCACGCGCUCUACAUCCACUCGUACAAGUCGCCCACCUUCUGCGACCACUGCGGCGAGAUGCUGUUUGGCCUGGUGCGGCAGGGACUCAAAUGUGAAGGGUGCAGCAAGAACUUCCACAAGCGGUGCGCCAUCAACGUGCCCAACAACUGCCUGCCGCGCGAGCGUCGGCGCAAAUCAUCCUCGUCCCACCUGCCGCAGUCGUCCUCCGUGACGUCACUCAUCUCACACGCGUCCGAGGACUCGCAGGGCACGGCCAUGUCGAUGUUGAACGGCAGCACAAAGUCCCGCUCGCCGUCGCUGUCCGGCCGGCCGCCGUGGACAGAGCGUGAGAUCGCCGGCCGCAUCGGUAUCCCGCACACCUUCGUCGUCCACUCGUACAAAAAGCCCACCAAGUGCAUGCUCUGCAACAAGCUGCUGGUCGGCGUGUACAAACAGGGUCUGCAGUGUCGCGACUGCAAGUACAACGUGCACAAGAAGUGCGCCGACCGCGUGCCGCACGCGUGCACGGGCGACGCGCCGUCGGAGCCGGGCGCUCGCAGCCAGGAGGAGGACGCCAGCGACGCCGACUGCGAGCCGGACGCCGGCGAGCCGGACGAAUCGGAGGAGGACGAGACGGAGCCGGGCGGCUCGCCGACCGGGGGCCGGACCGGCGGCGGCGAGCCGCCCCCCGACCCGGCCGCCGACACCGACAAGGAGUCGCUCUGCACGAGCGAGUCGCAGAACAUUCCCGUCCAGCGGCUGUUCCAGUCGGUGAAACACAAGAAGGCGCCGACGGUGACCAUCAAGGAGGGAUGGCUGGAGCACUACACGGGCAGGAACCCCGAGAAAAAGCGCCACUUUUGGCGACUGGAUACCAAAUGCUGCACCCUCUACAACAACCACAUGGACACCAAGUUUUACAAGGAGAUCGCCCUCUCCGAGAUCCUGGCGAUAGAGGCCAGCAAACCGAACGACGACUCGUACUCGUUCGAGCUGCGCACGGCCAACCUGGACUACUUUGUGCUGGAGCGUCCGGUGGCUGCGCAGGGUCCGCCGCCGCCGGCCAUCACUCUGCCGGACGGCACGGCGGUGGAGGCCGGCAGAGACUGGGAGCAGACGAUCCGGCAGCUGAUGCAGCCGCCGGGCGCUGCCGCCGCGCCGCCGCCGUCGGCCGCCCAGAGCGGCGCCGAGCGCGACACGGCCGAGCCCGACCCGUCCACCGACAUCACCACGCUCUACCAGAUCUACUCGGACGACGUGCUGGGCUCGGGCCAGUUCGGCAUCGUCUACCGCGGCGUGCACCGCACCAGCGGCAGGCAGGUGGCCAUCAAGAUGAUCAACAAGCUGCGCUUUCCCAACAAACAGGAGACCCAGCUGAAGAACGAGGUGUCCAUCCUGCAGACGGUCUCACACCCUGGAGUGGUGGUGCUGGAGCGGAUGUUCGAGACCCCGAACGAGGUAUUUGUCGUGAUGGAGAAGAUGGAGGGCGACAUGCUCGAGAUGAUUCUCCAAGCCGAGAAGCUGUGCGAGCGAAAAACACGCUUCCUGAUCACACAGAUCCUGGUGGCGCUCAAGUACCUGCACAGCCAGAACGUGGUGCACUGCGACCUGAAGCCGGAGAACGUGCUGCUCGCUUCCAAGGAGGAGUUCCCGCAGAUCAAAAUCUGCGACUUCGGCUACGCCAAGAUCAUUGGCGAGCGCUCGUUUCGGCGCUCGGUGGUCGGCACGCCCGCCUACCUCGCGCCCGAGGUGCUGCGCAACAAGGGCUACAACCGGUCGCUGGAUAUGUGGUCGGUGGGCAUCAUCAUCUACGUCAGCCUGAGCGGCACGUUCCCCUUCCACGACGACGAGGACAUCAACGACCAGAUUCAGAACGCCGCCUUCAUGUUCCCGCCGCACCCGUGGAAGAGCAUCAGCCAGGAGGCGAUCGAGCUCAUCAGCUGCCUGCUGCGGGUCAAGGCGCAGCGCCGCUUCACCGUCGACAAGAGCCUGAUGCACGUCUGGCUGCAGGACUUUGAGUGCUGGUCGGACCUGCGCGCACUGGAGCGGCGGCUCGGCAAACGCUACCUGACGCACGAGUCGGACGACGCGCGCUGGCAGGCGUACCAGCGCCAGUGGGCGGCCGGCGCCGCGCCGCCGCGCAACUGACUGCUCCGCCGCGCCGGCCGAGCACGUGCCGCGCGCCGCGCCGGCGUCCGGGGCGCUGUGCGCCCGCCGAGCCGCGCCCGGCCCAGCCGAGGUAUCUAACUGGGUGCGUGAGUGAGUGAUCAGUGGCGCCGUGAUGACUGUGUGUCUGUGCGAGAGAUUGGGCAGCCUGAUGUUGGCGCGCAGUGAGAGCCGCCCUCCCUAUAUUUGUAAGAGAGCCGAGGCGCUCUGCCUGUAUUUGUAAUGACGGGGGUUUACCCCGACCGGUGCUGCUGGAGGACCACGAACUGAGACGCCCGGCCAAACUGUACAGCCGAUAUGUGACGAUGUGUAAGUACAGCUCGCCAAAAUUUAUAGCCGCAGCCGCGCGGCGGGCGCGGGCCCAGAGAGACCAAAAGUCUAGUUAGUUUGUGAGAUGUGUAUGCGCCGGCCGGGCUGGUGUGGCGAGCGUUGGCCGCGAACUGUCGGCCGUCGGAGCGGCACGGGUGCGAUCACAUUCCGUGGUGGUGGCCGGGUGGGGGUGUGUGGGGCGCGCGCCUCUCGGCCCAGCUGAAGUGCCUGGCACGCGCCGCCUCUGCCGGCGCUGGGCGGGCCAACGAUGCAAUGUGCUGGAGUGUGCGGGCGCCGACGGCGGCUGGCCGGGCCGGGCCGCGCCCGUCCGGCCCGACUCGUGAUAGCCGCCGCGCGCCGACCGGCACCGGCCGCCUGGCCGCCAACACCGUGUCUUUAUGCAUUCGCUUGUAUGUCGUUCCAUUGAGGUGUGGGUGCGCACACCGGGGCCGGUGCCGCAGCCCCGCGUCCGAGCGCCCGCACUCGGCUCGUGCUCGUUAAGUGGUUUGUAAGUGUUAUCGGUCGUAAUUCAAUUUUAUUAUAAUAUACUCGUACUUGAUA
rnacentral:misc_RNA from 1 species